GCACCGGACUCAAAUGCCAUCCUUACCUUAUUGACCAUUGAAUUUCCAGCUGGAACUCUACCUCAGCACUACAGAAGACUCGCCGCUAUUGGCCGUACAAUGUCUGUGUUCAAGGCAUUGCCCUUCAUCUUCGUUAUAGUGACACUGGCAAUUAUGUACAGGCACACCCACAGCCAGCUUCUGCAGCACUGCAACCAGCCAUGUACCAUUUACCAGAAUAACAGCCGGACUCCUUGCCCGGAUGGAUGCCAAUGCGCCCACAAGACCACCGGAAAGCAUUACGGACCUGGAUUUUGCUGGAAACUAUGAAGCCAUUGGGAACGCUCACUGUUCCUCCGAUGCUCCGGAGUUGAAGAAGAAAUAAGACUACUCUUCCUUUUGCAAUAAAUAUACAAGUGACCAGCUUUUCAUGACCAAACAA